CAAGCAGAUCGGGUAGUCGCGGGCCUAUCCACUGCGUAUUAUCGCAAGGGAUGGCGCUCGAGGAAAGUCCGAACUCCAUAGGGCUGGGUGCUGGAUAACUUCCAGUGGGGGUGACCCUAAGGAAAGUGCCACAGAAAUUAAACCGCUCUCCAGUCUGAUUCAAACCGUAAAGGGUCGGAUUAGCGGAGAGUAAGGGUGAAACGGUGCGGUAAGAGCGCACCGGCAACCAGGUGACUGGUUGGCCAGGUAAACCCCACCCGGAGCAAGACCGAAUAGGAGGGACAUGAGGUGGCCCGCCUCCCCCUCGGGU
rnacentral:RNase_P_RNA from 1 species